CCGGGAUGAUGACAGUGUGUGUUAUGAGAGUGCCCAGUGCCGGGAAGCACACAGGAAGUCCUGCUCCUUGUUUUGCUGACUGAGCCCAUCCCCACAGGACACCCUUGGAAAAGGCUUCAUUCCCGCUGGCUCCUGGCUCUAGGUCACCUUGACCUAGGCUGGUGGUGGAGAAGGAUGCUCCUGGCCUUUUCCGGGCCCUGGUCUCAGCGCCUUGGCAGCAUGAAUGAACACCAUCCAGAGCUGGACUUUACCUUCUGCUCAGCUGAGGGCAGCAUUGUGGGUGGUAUGCGGACCUCUCCUUGUACUACUGCUCUACCUCCUAAGCAUCAGGAGGAGUCACAGCCCUAAACCUAAAACCAGCAUCAGCCACUUCGUCUCUUGCCAGAAUCUUCAGUGGCUCCCACCAUCUGCGGAACAACCCCAGACGUCUUAGCCUUGCAGUCCAAGCUCAACUUAGCUUUCAAAGCUCUCCACCCACCACUCCCAUCUUCUUAUUCCUCUGAAGCCUAAGGACCGCAGGCUCCCUGUCCUUGCCUCGAACUUCCCCCACCUCCAGGCCUUGGCUCCCAUCAGAUGUUUUUCCUUUCCCUGUCACCUUGAACCCAAAUAAAUCCUCACCUUUUGACGAGA